rnacentral:rRNA from 1 species
UACACGCUGUGACUAGCAUAUCAAUAAGCGGAGGAAAAGAAACUAACAAGGAUUCCCCUAGUAACGGCGAGUGAAGCGGGAAGAGCUCAAAUUUGAAAUCUUAAAGGGUUUCCCUUUACGAAUUGUAGUUUAAAGAAGUGUUUUCUGUUGAGGUUUUGGUAAAAGUUCUUUGGAAUAGGACAUCAUAGAGGGUGAGAAUCCCGUAUUUGACCUUUACUUUCAACUUUGUGAUACACUUUCAAAGAGUCGGAUUGUUUGGGAAUGCAGUCCAAAAUGGGUGGUAAAUUUCAUCUAAAGCUAAAUAUUGGCGAGAGACGGAUAGCGAACAAGUACCGUGAGGGAAAGAUGAAAGGAACUUUGAAAAGAGAGUUAAACAGUACGUGAAAUUGUCAAAAGGGAAGCGUUUGACACCAGUGUUGUUUUUCUGAAAAUCAAUUAAAGAACUGUUUAUGCUAAGUUGUUUAGACUUUAUCAGCUAACUGUUUAGUUUUGAGCUUUUCUUUAAUGCACUUUUCAGUUAACAAGUCAACAUCAAUUUCUUUUGCUGUAAAAAAGCUUGAGGAAGGUGGCUUGAGAUUCGUCUUAAGUGUUUAUAGCCUCUUGCCUAUGCAGUCGGAGAGAUUGAGGUCUGCAGCGUAGAUCCUUCGGGGCUAAAUGCAUUUGUGCUAAGUUAUAGCAUUUUAUAGACAACUUGUUGACUAUGAUUUGUCUUGUAGCUUACUCGCUUAUGUUAUUUUACCUACGCUUAGGAUGUUGAAGACUCUACAGAGAUA